GCCUACGGGAGGCAGCAGUGAGGAAUAUUGGUCAAUGGGCGUAAGCCUGAACCAGCCAAGUCGCGUGAGGGACGACGGCCCUACGGGUUGUAAACCUCUUUUGCCGGGGAGCAAGCGUGCGUUCGUGAACGCGCGUCGAGAGUACCCGGAGAAAAAGCAUCGGCUAACUCCGUGCCAGCAGCCGCGGUAAUACGGAGGAUGCGAGCGUUAUCCGGAUUUAUUGGGUUUAAAGGGUGCGUAGGCGGGCUGUUAAGUCAGCGGUCAAAUGUCGGGGUGCAACCCCG
rnacentral:rRNA from 1 species